rnacentral:rRNA from 1 species
UUCCGGUUGAUCCCGCCGGAGGUUACUGCUAUCGAGGUUCGACUAAGCCAUGCGAGUCGAAUGCCGCAAGGCAUGGCGUACUGCUCAGUAACACGUGGACAACCUACCCUUAGGACUGGGAUAACCCCGGGAAACUGGGAAUAAUCCCCGAUAGUCCUCGAAGGCUGAAUGCAUCGAGGGCGAAAGCUCCGGCGCCUAAGGAUGGGUCUGCGGCCUAUCAGGUAGUAGUGGGUGUAGCGUACCUACUAGCCUACGACGGGUACGGGUUGUGAGAGCAAGAGCCCGGAGAUGGAUUCUGAGACACGAAUCCAGGCCCUACGGGGUGCAGCAGGCGCGAAAACUUUACAAUGCUGGCAACAGCGAUAAGGGAACCUCGAGUGCCAGGUUACAAAUCUGGCUGUCGAGAUGCCUAAAAAGCAUUUCAUAGCAAGGGCCGGGCAAGACCGGUGCCAGCCGCCGCGGUAACACCGGCGGCUCGAGUGGUAACCGUUAUUAUUGGGUCUAAAGGGUCUGUAGCCGGCCGGAUAAGUCUCUUGGGAAAUCUGGCAGCUCAACUGUCAGGCUAUCAGGAGAUACUGUCUGGCUCGAGGCCGGGAGAGGUGAG